CUGAAGAGUUUGAUCAUGGCUCAGAUUGAACGCUGGCGGCAGGCUUAACACAUGCAAGUCGAGCGGGGAAGGGUAGCUUGCUACCUGACCUAGCGGCGGACGGGUGAGUAAUGCUUAGGAAUCUGCCUAUUAGUGGGGGACAACAUUCCGAAAGGAAUGCUAAUACCGCAUACGCCCUACGGGGGAAAGCAGGGGAUCUUCGGACCUUGCGCUAAUAGAUGAGCCUAAGUCAGAUUAGCUAGUUGGUGGGGUAAAGGCCUACCAAGGCGACGAUCUGUAGCGGGUCUGAGAGGAUGAUCCGCCACACUGGGACUGAGACAUGGCCCAGACUCCUACGGGAGGCA
rnacentral:rRNA from 1 species